rnacentral:misc_RNA from 1 species
AUUGAAGGAAUUGAAAACAAAUCCUGGUGCGUCGGUAUCUGGCUAUCUGAGGUCGCCAAAGGAGGAUGAGCCCAAAGCUGUUCGGUAUAUCGUGAAUGACUCCACGGUGGAAGCGCUAGCUGUAACGCUCGAAGAAAAUCCCAAUGGCGUAAUGGUUGACCGCGACGAGCUUUCCGGUUGGCUUAGGGCGCUGGACAAGGAGGGGCAGCAGGAGGCGCGUGCCUUUUACCUCACCGGAGCUGAUGGGGACAAAGGUUUCGCCACGGAUCGCAUUACGCGUGGUCGCGGGCACUUCGUGGAAUCGGUGU